rnacentral:rRNA from 1 species
UACGUAUGGAGCAAGCGUUAUCCGGAUUUACUGGGUGUAAAGGGAGUGUAGGUGGCCAGGCAAGUCAGAAGUGAAAGCCCGGGGCUCAACCCCGGGACUGCUUUUGAAACUGCAUGGCUAGAGUGCAGGAGGGGCAAGUGGAAUUCCUAGUGUAGCGGUGAAAUGCGUAGAUAUUAGGAGGAACACCAGUGGCGAAGGCGGCUUGCUGGACUGUAACUGACACUGAGGCUCGAAAGCGUGGGGAGCAAACAGG